UGGCAGUCAGAGGCGAUGAAGGACGUGCUAAUCUGCGAAAAGCGUCGGUAAGGUGAUAUGAACCGUUAUAACCGGCGAUGUCCGAAUGGGGAAACCCAGUGCAAUUCGUUGCACUAUCGUUAACUGAAUACAUAGGUUAACGAGGCGAACCGGGGGAACUGAAACAUCUAAGUACCCCGAGGAAAAGAAAUCAACCGAGAUUCCCCCAGUAGCGGCGAGCGAACGGGGAGCAGCCCAGAGUCUGAAUCAGCUUGUGUGUUAGUGGAACGGUCUGGAAAGUCCGACGGUACAGGGUGAUAGUCCCGUACACCAAAAUGCACAGGCUGUGAACUCGAAGAGUAGGGCGGGACACGUGGUAUCCUGUCUGAAUAUGGGGGGACCAUCCUCCAAGGCUAAAUACUCCUGACUGACCGAUAGUGAACCAGUACCGUGAGGGAAAGGCGAAAAGAACCCCGGCGAGGGGAGUGAAAAAGAACCUGAAACCGUGUACGUACAAGCAGUGGGAGCACCUUCGGGUGUGACUGCGUACCUUUUGUAUAAUGGGUCAGCGACUUAUAUUCUGUAGCAAGGUUAACCGUAUAGGGGAGCCGCAGGGAAACCGAGUCUUAACUGGGCGUUAAGUUGCAGGGUAUAGACCCGAAACCCGGUGAUCUAGCCAUGGGCAGGUUGAAGGUUGGGUAACACUAACUGGAGGACCGAACCGACUAAUGUUGAAAAAUUAGCGGAUGACUUGUGGCUGGGGGUGAAAGGCCAAUCAAACCGGGAGAUAGCUGGUUCUCCCCGAAAGCUAUUUAGGUAGCGCCUCGUGAACUCAUCUUCGGGGGUAGAGCACUGUUUCGGCUAGGGGGUCAUCCCGACUUACCAACCCGAUGCAAACUACGAAUACCGAAGAAUGUUAUCACGGGAGACACACGGCGGGUGCUAACGUCCGUCGUGAAGAGGGAAACAACCCAGACCGCCAGCUAAGGUCCCAAAGUCAUGGUUAAGUGGGAAACGAUGUGGGAAGGCACAGACAGCCAGGAUGUUGGCUUAGAAGCAGCCAUCAUUUAAAGAAAGCGUAAUAGCUCACUGGUCGAGUCGGCCUGCGCGGAAGAUGUAACGGGGCUAAACCAUGCACCGAAGCUGCGGCAGCGACACUAUGUGUUGUUGGGUAGGGGAGCGUUCUGUAAGCCUGCGAAGGUGUGCUGUGAGGCAUGCUGGAGGUAUCAGAAGUGCGAAUGCUGACAUAAGUAACGAUAAAGCGGGUGAAAAGCCCGCUCGCCGGAAGACCAAGGGUUCCUGUCCAACGUUAAUCGGGGCAGGGUGAGUCGACCCCUAAGGCGAGGCCGAAAGGCGUAGUCGAUGGGAAACAGGUUAAUAUUCCUGUACUUGGUGUUACUGCGAAGGGGGGACGGAGAAGGCUAUGUUAGCCGGGCGACGGUUGUCCCGGUUUAAGCAUGUAGGCUGGUUAUCCAGGCAAAUCCGGAUAAUCAAGGCUGAGGUGUGAUGACGAGGCACUACGGUGCUGAAGUAACAAAUGCCCUGCUUCCAGGAAAAGCCUCUAAGCAUCAGGUAACAUCAAAUCGUACCCCAAACCGACACAGGUGGUCAGGUAGAGAAUACCAAGGCGCUUGAGAGAACUCGGGUGAAGGAACUAGGCAAAAUGGUGCCGUAACUUCGGGAGAAGGCACGCUGGUGUGUAGGUGAAGUCCCUGCGGAUGGAGCUGAGACCAGUCGAAGAUACCAGCUGGCUGCAACUGUUUAUUAAAAACACAGCACUGUGCAAACACGAAAGUGGACGUAUACGGUGUGACGCCUGCCCGGUGCCGGAAGGUUAAUUGAUGGGGUUAUCCGUAAGGAGAAGCUCUUGAUCGAAGCCCCGGUAAACGGCGGCCGUAACUAUAACGGUCCUAAGGUAGCGAAAUUCCUUGUCGGGUAAGUUCCGACCUGCACGAAUGGCGUAAUGAUGGCCAGGCUGUCUCCACCCGAGACUCAGUGAAAUUGAACUCGCUGUGAAGAUGCAGUGUACCCGCGGCAAGACGGAAAGACCCCGUGAACCUUUACUAUAGCUUGACACUGAACAUUGAGCCUUGAUGUGUAGGAUAGGUGGGAGGCUUUGAAGCGUGGACGCCAGUCUGCGUGGAGCCAACCUUGAAAUACCACCCUUUAAUGUUUGAUGUUCUAACGUUGGCCCCUGACCGGGGUUGCGGACAGUGUCUGGUGGGUAGUUUGACUGGGGCGGUCUCCUCCCAAAGCGUAACGGAGGAGCACGAAGGUUAGCUAAUCCUGGUCGGACAUCAGGAGGUUAGUGCAAUGGCAUAAGCUAGCUUGACUGCGAGCGUGACGGCGCGAGCAGGUGCGAAAGCAGGUCAUAGUGAUCCGGUGGUUCUGAAUGGAAGGGCCAUCGCUCAACGGAUAAAAGGUACUCCGGGGAUAACAGGCUGAUACCGCCCAAGAGUUCAUAUCGACGGCGGUGUUUGGCACCUCGAUGUCGGCUCAUCACAUCCUGGGGCUGAAGUAGGUCCCAAGGGUAUGGCUGUUCGCCAUUUAAAGUGGUACGCGAGCUGGGUUUAGAACGUCGUGAGACAGUUCGGUCCCUAUCUGCCGUGGGCGCUGGAGAAUUGAGGGGGGCUGCUCCUAGUACGAGAGGACCGGAGUGGACGCAUCACUGGUGUUCGGGUUGUCAUGCCAAUGGCACUGCCCGGUAGCUAAAUGCGGAAGAGAUAAGUGCUGAAAGCAUCUAAGCACGAAACUUGCCCCGAGAUGAGUUCUCCCUGAGACU
rnacentral:rRNA from 1 species